rnacentral:rRNA from 1 species
CUUGCUAAGUUUGAUGGCGACCGGCGCACGGGUGAGUAACACGUAUCCAACCUGCCCUUUACUCGGGGAUAGCCUUUCGAAAGAAAGAUUAAUACCCGAUAGCAUAAUGAUUCCGCAUGGUUUCAUUAUUAAAGGAUUCCGGUAAAGGAUGGGGAUGCGUUCCAUUAGGUUGUUGGUGGGGUAACGGCCCACCAAGCCUUCGAUGGAUAGGGGUUCUGAGAGGAAGGUCCCCCACAUUGGAACUGAGACACGGUCCAAACUCCUACGGGAGGCAGCAUG